UACAGAGGUCCCAAGCGUUGUUCGGAUUCACUGGGCGUAAAGGGUGCGUAGGCGGCCGGGUAAGUCUGAUGUGAAAUCCCGCAGCUUAACUCCGAAACUGCAUUCGAUACUGGCGUGCUUGAGGACUGGAGAGGAGACUGGAAUUCAUGGUGUAGCAGUGAAAUGCGUAGAGAUCAUGAGGAAGACCAGUGGCGAAGGCGGGUCUCUGGACAGUUCCUGACACUGAGACACGAAGGCCAGGGGAGCAAACGGG
rnacentral:rRNA from 1 species